GAUGAACGCUGGCGGCGUGCCUAAUACAUGCAAGUCGAGCGAACGGACGAGAAGCUUGCUUUUCUGAUGUUAGCGGCGGACGGGUGAGUAACACGUGGAUAACCUACCUAUAAGACUGGGAUAACUUCGGGAAACCGGAGCUAAUACCGGAUAAUAUUUUGAACCGCAUGGUUCAAAAGUGAAAGACGGUCUUGCUGUCACUUAUAGAUGGAUCCGCGCUGCAUUAGCUAGUUGGUAAGGUAACGGCUUACCAAGGCAACGAUGCAUAGCCGACCUGAGAGGGUGAUCGGCCACAUUGGAACUGAGACACGGUCCAGACUCCUAAGGGAGGCAGCAGUAGGGAAUCUUCCGCAAUGGGCGAAAGCCUGACGGAGCAACGCCGCGUGAGUGAUGAAGGUCUUCGGAUCGUAAAACUCUGUUAUUAGGGAAGAACAUAUGUGUAAGUAACUGUGCACAUCUUGACGGUACCUAAUCAGAAAGCCACGGCUAACUACGUG
rnacentral:rRNA from 1 species